UCAGACGUGGUGUAAUGAAACACGGCCUCUGUCAAUAGAAGUGUGCAGAUAAAUUGAAGCGGCAGCCCGGGGUUCGAGUCCCCGUGUCUGAA